GAAAUCUCCUCAAUGAAACCCAGCAACAAUAAUAAUGCUGCCAAGGUCACAAAGCCUCCUUUCGUACCAGCCAAAGACGACACCAAACCAGUGCUUCAAGACCCAAUACUGCGGUCUGAUCCGAUUGAGACAGAGGAAGCUGUGCUUCGGUUGCCUACACUUCUAUUAACAGAUCAAAAAAUCCUCAACCCAAAAUGAUUUGAGAUGUUGUUGUUACUCUAUGGAGAAUGAAUGAUGAAGUCUGAAUGAUAUUAAAUGGUUCAAGAUUUCCCUUUAUAUUACCUUUUAUCCUUUUUUUCUUAUUAAUGUAAUAUUUUUCUGGGUGAAAAAGCUCUUCUUAAUUCCAGUGUUAAUUGCCAUUUAAUUUUUGUUGGGCAGAACGCAGAGAUUUUAUUUUAUUUUUAUA